GAAGGAAGGAAGGAAGGAAGGAAGGAAGGAAGGAGCAAUGAAAAAUUCAGCUGCUAUUCAAGGACUCUCUCAGGAGCUUAAGCAAAAAAAGAAAAAAUAAUAAGUGAAAAGAGGAAAAAAGGAUCCAUUCAAAAGAUUCAUUAAAAAAAAAAGGACAUAGCUCAUUGUCCUUUAAAUGCAGCCCUAUAAAUGCCAAGUGGGUGUGGCCACCUUAAGCCCCAUGUUCAGGAAGCAGAGACAGGGGAUCUCUGGGGGCCAAACUGACUGGCUAGCUAAACCAGCCAAAUCCAUGUGCUCUGAGCCCAGGGAAAGACCUCUGUCUUCUCUACCACAUGUUUACACACCUGCAUAUGCCAUACAACAUAAAAGCAUGGAUACACACAUGCACGAGCACACACUCAUCCCCAAAUCCACAUAACAGAAGAAAGAAGGAAAUGGAACAGAAAUAAAUAAUGCAAGAAAAUUUCCCAAAGUAAAGGACAUGAAAUGAAAGACUGCACUUGUCCAUGGGAUGCUCAACACCGUGGGAAGCAGGGUCAAGAUGGGGUACCUGCCAGUUAAUUUCUGAAGUUCAGAAGUUUCAGCCAACACUUUGGGUUCCUUCACAAAGCACCUAACUCCAUCUCAGCUUCUUCUCUAAUGUUCUUGAAUGCUCCCCGCCCACCAUGCUCACCAAACUCAAGCACACCAUUUCCAAACAGUCUCAGAGGAAGAACUCUUGCUUUUACAGUGUGCCUUGGGACCCUCAAACAAAUCUUCCUUACAUUGUCUAAGCAGCAACUCAAAGGCUGUUGCAAUUUGGUGAAAUCCAGAGACAGUGACUGUCAUGAAUUGUAAGAAAAUGAUUACCGGUGCCUUCUGAUUGCAAGCAACAAGCCCAGGACUCCUAGAAAUUGCCAAAUCAUCACCAAUGGAAAGUUCUAGUAUGGCCAGGUAUAGCAGUGCACGCCUCUAAUCCCCGGCACUUUGGAGGCAGAGGCAGGUGGAUCUCUAAGAGGGUAGCCUGGUCUAAGGAGCAAGUUCCACGACAGACAGACAUAAAGAAAACCUGUCGGAAAAAAAAUUUAAGGGGGGGAGGCACACUUGUAAUCCCAGUACCUGAGGACUUUCGAGGUUGCACAGGAGGAUCCUGGGAGGUGGCUGAGCAAGCAGUGUGGCUGAAUUAGUGAGCUCCAGCUUCAGUGAGAGCUUUCUCAAUCCCAAAUAAUAAGGUGGAGAAUUGUCAAGGAAGAUGCCUGUUCACCUCUGGCCUCCACAUGCAUGAACACAUGUACUAGUGCUCAACUGCACACACAUGAACAAAAAAUGUCUUUUAAUAUAAAAGGGGCUUGGAAGGCAUCGUAGUAACAGAGUGCUUGCCUG
rnacentral:lncRNA from 1 species